rnacentral:lncRNA from 1 species
UGAGAGUCACUUACAUUGUUAUCAUCGACGUUGAUGUUAACAUUUUCUUCUUGAUUCCCAUUAGUUGGUUCAUCCGCAACAACUAUUGCCAACUCAUCUGGGUUCGUCGAGGCGCCCGUAUUACUCUUAGGGUCAUGAUAACUCUUGCAAAAUUUAUCCAUAGCUCCUCUCUGUGAUUCUAUCAACUUAUCCACACGUCUUUUCCUUUUCCUUUUCUCGCAGCCUGAUUCAUAUUUUCUAGACGACAUGAUAUCCCACAGUGCUGAAAUUAUUAUAAAUACACAAUAGUUAUAAAUUGGUUAAUAUUAAAUAACUUGUGAUAGUGAAUUAAUAAUUAAUGGUAUGGAGAAUUGGAAAAUUGACAAUCAAGCAGCCUACCUAGUUGCUGUCGCAGUUGAAUAGGAACAACAUGAUCUCGUUUCUCGUCGAGCGAGGUUAAACAGAAGUACAGAACCAGAACAAAACCCUCACGAGACACAGCUGACAGCUCUGGAGGGGAUCACGGCCACGCGCGGGAGUGCGACCGCCGGUGCAUGCGCGAUGCACGGCAGUAGGCGCGCAGCACGCUAGCACGGCAGCAGGUUGCAGUCUUUCGGCGGCGGGCGACGCUAGGGCCUACGGGGUGACGGGGCGUGUGCGCAGGCCUGCGUGUGCGAUGGCCGAUGGGGCCUGUGCGCCUGCCUUUAAUAAUUAGGAAUCGGAGUUGUGUCGUGUCUCGUUUUA